CAAUAAUGAUGAAUGGAAAAAAGAGAAAAUCCUUUAGCUAGAUAAGGG
rnacentral:tRNA from 1 species